rnacentral:rRNA from 1 species
GGCGGCGUGCUUAACACAUGCAAGUCGAACGAAGAGCGAUGGAAGCUUGCUUCUAUCAAUUUAGUGGCGAACGGGUGAGUAACGCGUAAUCAACCUGCCCUUCAGAGGGGGACAACAGUUGGAAACGACUGCUAAUACCGCAUACGAUCCAAUCUGGCAUCGAGACUGGAUGAAAGGUGGCCUCUAUUUAUAAGCUAUCACUGAAGGAGGGGAUUGCGUCUGAUUAGCUAGUUGGAGGGGUAACGGCCCACCAAGGCGAUGAUCAGUAGCCGGUCUGAGAGGAUGAACGGCCACAUUGGGACUGAGACACGGCCCAGACUCCUACGGGAGGCAGCAGUGGGGAAUCUUCCGCAAUGGACGAAAGUCUGACGGAGCAACGCCGCGUGAGUGAUGACGGCCUUCGGGUUGUAAAGCUCUGUUAAUCGGGACGAAUGGUUCUUGUGCAAAUAGUGCGAGGAUUUGACGGUACCGGAAUA